rnacentral:tmRNA from 1 species
GGGGCUGAUCGGUUUCGACGUCGGGACCAGGAGGCGACGGCGUGCGACCGGAGUUGCUCAGACUCCUUAAACGGGGCACACCAAGAGACGCCGAUUCGGACGAUCUCGUUCUCGCCGCCUGAUCCGCUCACGCUGAUCGGGUAACCGAGAAUCAUCGCGACCAGCAAUGGCACGCGGGGCCUGACCAUCGCAGCCUGUCACCAGAAGCGGUGGUGGACGGCAGGGAGAGACCGCUGACAGCCGGCAAAGACCGCUGACCCCGGGGAAAGCCCCGGUGGCGGGGCCCUCGCGGCCCGCCCGACCCGGCGGGGUGGCAGCCACGAGCCACACACUCGGGAAUGGUCGUAACGCGUCGGGUCACCACCUGACGGACGAGGGUUCGAUUCCCUCCAGCUCCACUC